UGGCAUGUCGUUGGGAGACUGCUGGCCACAGAGGCGCUUUGCUCGCCCAGCUGCCUCCCACAGCCUCCACAGUGCCGGCUCCGGCCUCAGAGGGAGAGGUCUGGCCCCUUGGGAGGAGGCCACACUCCAUGGGGAUGCCCGGAGGAGGGACAGUGUCGCAGCCCCAGGCCGCUCACAGCCCCCUGGAGCCGCCGCCGGCCACCGCGAUCCUGUGCACCACGUGUGGCUCCGUGUGCAAGGGGGAGGUGCUGCGGGUGCAGAACAAGUACUUCCACAUCAGGUGCUUCGUCUGCAAAGCCUGCGGCUGUGACCUGGCCGAGGGUGGCUUCUUCGUGCGGCAGGGCGAGUACAUCUGCUCCCAGGACUACCAGCGGCUCUACGGCACCCGCUGCUACAGCUGCGACCAGUUCAUCGAGGGCGAGGUGGUGUCCGCGCUGGGCAAGACCUACCACCCCGACUGCUUCGUGUGCGCCGUCUGCCGGCUCCCCUUUCCCCCCGGGGACCGAGUGACCUUCAACGGCAAGGAAUGCGUGUGCCAGAAGUGCUCCCUGCCCACAGCGCUGAGCAGCAGCGUGCACCCGUCCCAGGGCCUCCGGAGCUGCGGGGGCUGUGGCUCAGAGAUCCAAAACGGCCAGGCCCUGGUGGCUCUGGACAAGCACUGGCACUUGGGCUGCUUCACGUGCAAGGCCUGCGGGAAGCUCCUAGACGCAGAGUACAUCAGCAAGGAUGGGCUGCCCUACUGCGAGACCGACUACCACGCCAAGUUCGGCAUCCGCUGUGACACCUGUGAGAAGUACAUCACGGGGCGCGUGCUGGAGGCCGGGCAGAAGCACUACCACCCCUCGUGUGCACUCUGCGUCAGGUGCGGCCAGAUGUUUGCGGAAGGCGAGGAGAUGUAUCUUCAAGGUUCCUCCAUCUGGCACCCGGCGUGUCGGCAGGCAGCCAGAACUGAAGACAAGAGCAAGAUGCAGAGCCCUAUCUGCAGCCAGGCCCGCCCGGGCACCGCGCCCCGUGCCCUGCAGGACACCAGGACUUCCUUGGAGAGCAUCGUCUCCGUGCCCGCCUCCAGCACCUCAGGGUCUCCCAGCCGCGUCAUCUACGCGAAGCUUGGAGACGAGAUCCUUGACUACAGGGACUUGGCCGCGCUUCCCAAAAGCAAGGCCAUCUACAACAUCGACCGCCCAGACAUGAUCUCCUACUCGCCCUACGUCAGCCACUGCGCGGGCGACAGGCAGAGCCGCAGCGAGUCUCCUCAGUUGCUCUCGCCAACGCCGACUGAGGGGGACCAAGAUGACCGGUCCUACAAGCAGUGCCGGACCUCCAGCCCCAGCUCCACCGGCUCUGUCAGCCUUGGGCGCUACACCCCGACCUCACGGUCACCCCAGCACUACAGCCGUCCAGCUGGUACUGCGAGUGUGGGUACCAGUAGCUGCCUCUCCCUGUCCCAACACCCCAGCCCCACCUCCGUGUUCAGACAUCAUUACGUCCCCUACUUCCGAGGCAGUGAAAGUGGCCGCAGCACCCCCAGCCUCUCGGUGCUCUCGGACAGCAGGCCUCCUUCCUCCACCUACCAGCAGGCCCCGCGCCACUUCCACGUCCCAGACACUGGCGUAAAAGAUAACAUCUAUAGGAAACCCCCUAUCUACAAGCAGCAUGGUCCUGUAGCCCAAUCCCCAAUUUCCAAGCUCUCUGGCCUGGUGUCAGUCUUGUCCUUGGUGGUGCAGGAGGCAGGCUGCUCCCAAAGGCUGACAGGUCCCAGCCCGCCACAGGCUGCAGCCGCGCGGCGAGUGGACGGGGAGGACGGGAGCUUCGACCAGGAUAACAGGAAGAAGACCAGCUGGCUCCUCCUCAAGGGGGACUCGGACACAAGGACGAACUCUCCAGACCUGGACAUCCAGUCUCUGUCCCACAGCAGUGGGACAGAGCAAGGCCCUCUACAGAGAGGGCCAGGAGACAGCUUUUCUCCACGGUUCCCCUAUUCCAAAUCCGACUCCCUCCCAAGACAUGGGACGAAUGGCCUGGACCGUCGGAAUGCCAAUGUGGCCCCUUGUGGAGCAGACCCGGAUGCCAGCUGGGGCACGCGAGAGUACAAGGUAAGAGGCCGCCGCCGCCCGCACCUGCCCAGCCGCUGCCCAGGUUAAACCAUCUUUCCUUGCUUUUCCUAUGAGUGUCUGUGUCCGGAGCUGUCGCAAGUGUGUGCCUGGCUCUGUCCUCUGGUGGGCGCGGCCCAGCGCUCCCGGGCCUCCUGCGAGCCCUGGCUUCCCCGCAGGUCUACCCAUAUGACGCGCUCAUCGUCACCAACCGAAUCCGCGUGAAGCUACCCAAAGACGUGGACCGGACGAGACUGGAGAGACACUUGUCACCUGAGGAGUUCCAGGAGGUGUUUGGGAUGAGCAUCGAGGAGUUUGACCGCCUGGCGCUGUGGAAGAGGAAUGACCUCAAGAAGAAGGCCCUGCUGUUCUGACGGCCGCCAGCCCUCCCCACGGACCGCGCCAGGGCAGCGCCGAGGAGCCCCCGCCAGAGCCACACACCCUUUACCCCACACCUUGCCGUGGCUUCUCUGUGUCAGUGGGACGGGUGGGGACCCUGGGGGAAGCUGGGCUGGGCAGGAGGAGGGCCCCAGCGGGCACAGCCCCUGGUGUGCGGAGAAGCGCCUGCUCUAGUUUAGGGCCACGACCCCUGGCUUGACUCUGCCCUUCCCAGGGGCCACUCGGCUUCCGGGCCGAUCACCCAGACAGGGGUGGCCCACCUUUGGGCAUCCCCAGAGUGCCUGGCCCUGGGGUGCAGAGGUGGCCAGGACGCGGGCUGUGAGAGGCUCUUCAGUGACAGGCGCUGUCAGAGCCAGGUGGCCCCGCCUGGCAGGCCGCAGACUCACAGGCCAGGGCAGGAGAGCAGAAGGAGAGCCAGGGGCAGAGCCCAGCGCUGGGUGUGCGAGCUUUACACCUGUCCCUGACGGCUCUCUUCAGGAAGGAGCGUCCACGGACAGGGUGCCACCGAGCGCUCCAGGCACGGCUCCCUCCAGCCACCCCCUGAGGCCUAAAUGAGACCUUUCAAGUAACACAGAAGUCUUUAUUUUUAAAAAAGUAAAGCUUACUUACACACAGGAUGACACCCGCGCAGAGUGUAGUUCUAGUCCCGGUAAAGGGGAGCAUCUCUGCCUUACGCCCCACCGUGCGGGCCCCUGUGGCCCGGCUCGUGGCGUCCCCGAGAGACAGGACCCUCAAGAGUUUCCUCUUGUCUUUCCCUGUGUGUGUCACGUAGUCGCCCUGAAGCCUGACCCUCUGAGUGACACUGUGUGUAAGUACGUGUGACUCGUGGCUGCCAAGGCUCCUGGCCCUCAUUUUUCCAAGUCUCCCCCAGUGGCUCUGGAAUAAAGGUCUCCCUAUAGCCAGCCUGGUCCCCUGUGGCCUCCGGGGCACCAUCCAGGUGGUGGCCAGCGGUGCCUCGCCUUAUCCACUGUAAGACAAGCCACACUCGUGGGGACCCUGUAUCCGUGCACCUCCCCCACACAGGCACCAAACACUUUUGGAGGAGAAGGUGGAGCCCUUGUCGCCUCCAGUCUGUGAGGCCAGCAGAGUGUGGGGUGGAGGGAGCAGGAGGCUGGCUGACGGCCCCCCAGGUGACAUGCACUAUGUCUGCAUUUAUAGGUGGGCAGGGCACUGAGGAGGUGCAUAGGAGGGUGGGUGGAAACCGGGGUCAGUUUCUGGUCCUGUGUGUCCUGCCCAGCCCUGCCCCUUAGUCGUCCCUACUCAGCUUCCUCACAGUCCUGGACACACCAAGUUCCACUUGGCCCUCAGCUUCUCACCAGCCCAGCUGUUCCACAGAGGGGACUUCUAGCUCCUGAUGCUUCCUGCCAUUUAGCCACCCGAGCCUGCGCAACUGGAAACCCCAUCCCCACCCCCUCGCCCGGUGUCAAGUCUGACCCCAGGAAGCCUGGGGUAAUAAAAGAUGCCCUACUGUAACUUGUCAA